GAAAACACAUAAGAGAGAGCAGAGGUAGUAAGUCAGGAUGCUAUGACUAGGGGAUAAAUAAAGUUUGCAAACAAGUAGAGAAGGAAGGAGGACAUAGGAUGGUCCACAGAAGCCUGGAAACAAGUGCCCUGGGAAAUAUGUACAAUGAAGACUGAGUCCCAUAAAUAAAGAAGCUUUUUUUUGCUUUGGAGCAAGGCUGAACCUGUCAUACUACAGGCACUCAAGUCCUUGAAGGAGAAGCAAGGCAUAAUACAGGGGAACAGAUUGAAAGCUCAUUUCCGGAUUUUAAUUAAAUACUAUUAAAUUUGCAGUAAUAAGCAGGGAACAACACUGUUGCAAUGUGGAAGGAUUACUAAAUACAAAGAGUGAAGCCCCUGCUGACUUCAACAGACUAUACGUGGGAGAACUUCCUUCUUUCCCCCAAAAAUUUCAGGGUAAGCAUUGAUUUACUAGCUUUUUAAAGAGU
rnacentral:lncRNA from 1 species